rnacentral:rRNA from 1 species
ACUGAACGCUGGCGGCAUGCCUUACACAUGCAAGUCGAACGGUAACAGGCCGCAAGGUGCUGACGAGUGGCGGACGGGUGAGUAAUGCAUCGGAACGUGCCCAGUCGUGGGGGAUAACUGCUCGAAAGAGCAGCUAAUACCGCAUACGACCUGAGGGUGAAAGCGGGGGACCGUAAGGCCUCGCGCGAUUGGAGCGGCCGAUGUCAGAUUAGCUAGUUGGUGGGGUAAAGGCCUACCAAGGCAACGAUCUGUAGUUGGUCUGAGAGGACGACCAGCCACACUGGGACUGAGACACGGCCCAGACUCCUACGGGAGGCAGCAGUGGGGAAUUUUGGACAAUGGGCGCAAGCCUGAUCCAGCAAUGCCGCGUGCAGGAAGUAGGCCUUCGGGUUGUAAACUGCUUUUGUCAGGGAAGAAAUCUUCUGGGCUAAUACCCCGGGAGGAUGACGGUACCUGAAGAAUAAGCACCGGCUAACUACGUGCCAGCCGCCGCGGUAACAC